rnacentral:rRNA from 1 species
AAGAUCACGGCGAGACGAGCCGUUUAUCAUCUCAUUACGAUAGGUGUCAAGUGGAAGUGCAGUAAUGUAUGCAGCUGAGGCAUCCUAACCGAUCGGUAGACU